rnacentral:rRNA from 1 species
UACGUAGGGUCCAAGCGUUAUCCGGAAUCACUGGGCGUAAAGCGUGCGUAGGUGGCGCGUAAGUGAGAUGUUAAAUCGUGGGGCUCAACCCUGUCGGUGCAUCUCAUACUGGCGUGCUAGAGGACAGCAGAGGCAAGUGGAAUUAGCAGUGUAGCAGUGAAAAUGCGUAGAUAUUGCUAGGAACACCAAUGCGAAGGCAGCUUGCUGGGCUACUCCUGACACUAGGUACGAAAAGCUGGGGGAGCGAACAGGAUUAGAAAACCCCCAGUAGUCC